AGAGCGAACGCUGGCGGCAGGCCUAACACAUGCAAGUCGAGCGCCCCGCAAGGGGAGCGGCAGACGGGAGAGUAACACGUGGGAACGUACCCUUUGGUUCGGAACAACCCAGGGAAACUUGGGCUAAUACCGAAUAAGCCCUUACGGGGAAAGAUUUAUCGCCGAAGGAUCGGCCCGCGUCUGAUUAGCUAGUUGGUGAGGUAACGGCUCACCAAGGCGACGAUCAGUAGCUGGUCUGAGAGGAUGAUCAGCCUCACUGGGACUGAGACACGGCCCAGACUCCUGCGGGAGGCAGCAGUGGGGAAUAUUGGACAAUGGGCGAAAGCCUGAUCCAGCCAUGCCGCGUGAGUGAUGAAGGCCUUAGGGUUGUAAAGCUCUUUCGCCAGGGACGAUAAUGACGGUACCUGGAUAAGAAGCCCCGGCUAACUUCGUGCCAGCAGCCGCGGUAAUACGAAGGGGGCUAGCGUUGUUCGGAAUUACUGGGCGUAAAGCGUAUGCAGGCGGAUCGUUAAGUCGGGGGUGAAAUCCCGAGGCUCAACCUCGGAACUGCCUUCGAUACUGACGAUCUUGAGUCCGGGAGAGGUGAGUGGAACUCCGAGUGUAGAGGUGAAAUUCGUAGAUAUUCGGAAGAACACCAGUGGCGAAGGCGGCUCACUGGCCCGGCACUGACGCUGAGAUACGAAAGCGUGGGGAGCGAACAGGAUUAGAUACCCUGGUAGUCCACGCCGUAAACGAUGGAUGCUAGCCGUCGGGGAGCAUGCUCUUCGGUGGCGCAGCUAACGCAAUAAGCAUCCCGUCUGGGGAGUACGAUCGCAAGAUUAAA
rnacentral:rRNA from 1 species